rnacentral:rRNA from 1 species
AUAAGGGGGGAGCAAGCGUUGUUCGGAUUUACUGGGCGUAAAGGGCGCGUAGGCGGCGCAACAAGUCACUUGUGAAAUCUCCGGGCUUAACCCGGAGCGGCCAAGUGAUACUGUCGUGCUAGAGUGCGGAAGGGGCUACUGGAAUUCUCGGUGUAGCGGUGAAGUGCGUAGAUAUCGAGAGGAACCCCUGCGGCGAAGGCGGGUAGCUGGGCCGACACUGACGCUGAGGCGCGAAAGCCAGGGGAGCGAACGGGAUUAGAUACCCCGGUAGUCCUGGCCUUAAACGAUGGAUGCUUGGUGUCCGAGGUUACAUAGUCCUCGGGUGCCGGCGCUAACGCAUUAAGCAUCCCGCCUGGGGAGUACGGUCGCAAGACUGAAACUCAAAUGAAUUGACGGGG